UACACGCACACGGAACUCGAAUGCAAACAUUAGAAAAAUCUGCUUGUUUGACUACCAAUUUGGAUAUUAAAGAUGUCUAAGCAAAGUCAGGUGUUGGCAGUUACAGAUAAUAACUAAAAUCCCCCUGUUUCAGUUGUACUUUGUUAGAAAAAGAAAUCAGCAGUUAGUACACAAAGAUUAACACAUAAAGAAGAUUAACUGAAAGUGAUAACAAAGACGCCUCAAGUCUUAACGCUACUGAUAUUCCAUCCUAGGAGAACAUGUUUAUGCUUGCAUUUUAAAGGGUUUGGCCGCUUAACUGGAAUUACCGAAAACAGCCUCAGAGCAAAGGUUGUAAAAAUAAUUUCUCACUUUUUGCGCUGAACUGACCUACUCUGGGACUACUCUGUACUGAAGAAAUAGUCCCUUCAUAUCAAGGUCUGGGGAUAACACUGGCACAUUGUUUUGAGACCGACACGUUGAGUUAUUCAAUAAUUAUUUUUUUGACAUUUUAAGCCACACAAGUCAAAUGUGUAUGUAUUGUUAUGGUGGCAGAAAUCAAGGAGGCAGAACCUCAAACCUCAGUCAGUACGUAAAGCCUAAACUAUCUCCAUGAUUUGAUACCACCAGUAAAGAGUACCUUUAAAUAUCAAGUGUUGUUUAAACACAAGCAGCCAUACAUGAAAUUAAAUUCAAAAUGAUUUGAUCAGUAAUUAUCUAAUUAAAGAACACGUAAACAAGACUAUCUGAAACUUUCUCUACUUAAAAGUUUAAAUUCUUGUUGCUACAUGCACAUUUUUGAUUGUACCAAAAUAGGAAUUUUUCCUACCUAGUGCGAGUGAAGCAAAUUGUAUUAUUUUUAUAAUAUUUUCUGAACCGAACUAUUAAGUCCAUGUGGAAGGUAUUUUUGUGUCAUGUCUUUGCCGGUCAUGAUCAGCUGAAAAAAAUAAAGACUUUCAUUUAAAAUGACAAAUAAAUACUAAAAGUCAUUGAAAUGCACUUAGUAAAUGGGGGACUGACUGAGAGGGAAUAUGAGAUAUCAAGGCAAGGCAGAGGGACAAAGGCUAACAGAAUGUGGAGUAAAAGAGGAGUUAAAGAGAAAACCAGGAAAUGUUAAAUUCAAAUUUUCUUUAGAAGGGACAGGUUUUAAGGGUGAGUGGAUACAAUACGAUGAUGUGCGAGGGUUUCACAUAAACAAGCGGAGUAAGAGUUAAAAGGGAGUGGAGGGAACAGAAAGUGAUUUAGAUGUUCACUACGGGAGGAGGGAAGGGCAAGGUUUUGGCGUGACCAUGGAAACAGCUGGUUUAUUCUGUUUGUGUGAGUGACUCACCCCAUAGAGAGUCUGAGAACAUGGGACAGAGCCAGACACACAAUAUGAUACAAUCAACAAUCAACAAUUCCCAGGUACUUUCAUGUCUGUUUUAAAUGCGUCAGAGGCCGUUGAUUGCACUGGCUCCUACUGCUAUAGCUAUAGAGAAAUUUGGCAUGUAUCGGGAAGAAUCUCGUAAGAAAAAGAAGGAAAAAGAUUAGACAAUAAUAAUUGGAUUAGAACUAUACCUACAGUAUCACUCGUUAGUGCUUUCAUCUCAAAAGCACAACAAUCAUUUGAUCAAAAGAAUCAUCCAAGAUCAUUGUACCACAUUUAUUGAAAUAAUACAAUUAGUGCUUGUUAAUGUUGUGAAAGUGCAGUACUAUAAUUUUGCCAAAAAAGUGCCAUAACACUGAUGAAGAAUUUCUUCUUCUCCAUUUAAGUGGACUAUUUGACCGUAUCACAUACAGUUUAUUCUGAAUGGGCUUGUUAUAGCUCUUCACUGCAGCUAAAUGUUUACAUUGCAUUAAAUAAUCAAACGCAAGAAUCAAUGUUUGUAUGGCUGUACCAUCCAAUUAAAUAGAAACAUAUUCUAGGCACAUUUCCAAAAUGUAUCCAGAUAUAUUUAGAAAAAGUUGUGUGCAUUUAGACAAACGUUUACGGUUUGUAAUGACUGACCUAUACCAGCUUGUCAGAUUGGUUAAGAAGUUUGAAGGUUUGACUUAAAAUAUUCUGGCAUUCUUUUGCUUCUCAGUAAUUUAAAGUUGCAUGGAGACUGUUAAAACAUAAAUGGUUAAAAUAAUUGGUGAGUUACAUCUUAGGCAUCUUUUUAAGUCUCAGCAGGUUUCCUUUCAUACCAUACUGACAUUAACUGAAAGGAAUGGCUGUCUGGAAAUGCACUCACAAUAGUCUUAACCACUUUUCAUUGAAAAAUAGUGAGCAGUAAUGUGGAAUAUAUGUAGCAAAAUGGGCUAAAAUAAAGUCACUAUAGUCCUUUUAACUCCUGUCAGGUCACUAGUGACAUAAUCCUGACUUCACAUGGCAA